GUUGUGGCUCAGUGGUGGAAUGCUCGCCUAGCAUGUGCGAGGCCCUGGGUUCGAUCCUCAGUACGACA
rnacentral:tRNA from 1 species